GACGAACGCUGGCGGCGUGCUUAACACAUGCCAGUCGAACGGAAAGGCCAGUGCUUGCACUGGUGCUCGAGUGGCGAACGGGUGAGUAACACGUGGGUGAUCUGCCUUGCACUCUGGGAUAAGCUUGGGAAACUGGGUCUAAUACCGGAUAGGAACCGUCUUUAGUGUGGUGGUUGGAAAGUUUUUUCGGUGCAAGAUGAGCUCGCGGCCUAUCAGCUUGUUGGUGGGGUAAUGGCCUACCAAGGCGUCGACGGGUAGCCGGCCUGAGAGGGUGUACGGCCACAUUGGGACUGAGAUACGGCCCAGACUCCUACGGGAGGCAGCAGUGGGGAAUAUUGCACAAUGGGCGGAAGCCUGAUGCAGCGACGCCGCGUGGGGGAUGACGGCCUUCGGGUUGUAAACUCCUUUCGACAGGGACGAAGCGUUAUGUGACGGUACCUGUAUAAGAAGCACCGGCUAACUACGUG
rnacentral:rRNA from 1 species